UACGUAGGCAGCGAGCGUUGUUCGGAGUUACUGGGCGUAAAGGGUGUGUAGGCGGUUUUCUAAGUUUGGUGUGAAAUCUCCCGGCUCAACCGGGAGGGUGCGCCGAAAACUGGAAGACUAGAGUGCGGGAUGGGAGAGUAGAAUUCCUGGUGUAGCGGUGAAAUGCGUAGAGAUCAUGAGGAAGACCAGUGGCGAAGGCGGUCUGCUGGGCAGUUUCGUGACACUGAUGCGCGACAGCGUGGGGAGCAAACAGG
rnacentral:rRNA from 1 species